rnacentral:rRNA from 1 species
GGAAUAUUGGACAAUGGGCGAAAGCCUGAUCCAGCAAUGCCGCGUGUGUGAAGAAGGCCUGCGGGUUGUAAAGCACUUUCAGUAGAGAAGAAAAGCCUGCGGUUAAUAACCGCGAGUCUUGACGUAACCUACAGAAGAAGCACCGGCUAACUCCGUGCCAGCAGCCGCGGUAAUACGGAGGGUGCAAGCGUUAAUCGGAAUUACUGGGCGUAAAGCGCGCGUAGGCGGUUUGUUAAGUCAGCUGUGAAAGCCCCGGGCUCAACCUGGGAACUGCAGUUGAUACUGGCCGACUAGAGUACGAGAGAGGGAGGUAGAAUUCCAUGUGUAGCGGUGAAAUGCGUAGAUAUAUGGAGGAAUACCGGUGGCGAAGGCGGCCUCCUGGCUCGAUACUGACGCUGAGGUGCGAAAGCGUGGGGAGCAAAC